UUCUCUCCUGCGAGCUCAACAGGCCCAGUUCCCUCAACCUUUCUUCAUAGGAGAGGUGCUCCAGCCCUCUGCUCAUCCUAGUGGUCCUGCUCUGGACCCGUUCCACGAUCGCUUCUUGUGCUGGGGGCCCCAGGCCUGGGCGCAGUACUGCGGAUGGGGCCUCGCAAGAGCCGAGUAGAGGGGGACAAUCACCUCCCUCUCCCUGCUGGCCACCCCUUUCUUAGUGCAGCCCAGAGCACCGUUGGCCUUCCGGGCUGCAGGCGCGCACUGCUGGCUCACGUCCAGCUUCUCGUCCACCAGGACCCCCGGGUCCUUCUCCGCAGGGCUGCUCUCAAGGAGCUCUUCCCCCACUCUGAAGCGGGCAUUCUUUUCUUAUGGCGCUGACGCAUGGGGGAUCGCUCCGCCCAACUGCGCGCAAAAGAGCUUCAGCUGAUGCGUGUCUCUUGUGUCGUGCAUGUCAAGGUUUUCCCAGACGGCACGCACGUACUCAGUACUUUCCCUGACAUCACUAACGUAGGGUUCUGCGUCCUUGCACGUGCUCGGUCUUUCUGUGGUGGCGGUCCUAAUCGGUGCCUCCGACCUUCGAUGGUCUUCCACGAUCGCUCUCCUCCGCAUUGGUGAGCACCAGGUCUAGUAAUGCUUCGCCUCUGGCCGAUCUGUCCGAUACCCGGAGCAGGAUGUUAUCAUCAACAGGCUGCAGCAGUCUCCUGGAUUGCUUGCAGCUCACCUUGCUCUUUUCCCUGCAUAUAGCUGGGUGGUUGAAAUCCUCCUUCCGGAGGAGAGCUUGGAGCAUGACGGCCCUUGUAGCUGAAGCCAGGCGGCCUCAUCAGCGGGCCGGGGUAGCGCUCUUCACCUCUGUCAGUACGGCGGUGGACGCACCGGCGAGGGCCGAGACCUGUGCCCCUUCGGGGGAAUCCCCGGGGGCGUCUGGUGCAUCCACUCGGGCAGAUAUGGCAAGAAAGCGAAAAUCUACCUGAUGGCGCUGGAAGGGCGGCACUGCCCGCGGCCGGCCUCCCUUUGCUAUUUGCUUCGUUUCUUCUUCGCUUCAGCACGCGGGGCAGACAUCAGGAAUGCAAAUGACUGAUAAAGCAAGCAUCAGCCGUUUCCAACGUUAGAAAUGUUGUUAGAAAGAAAGGCUUCAGGAAGCGGUGGCGCAUUCUCCCGUGGGCAGCGGUGAGGACAAAGGAGUGACAAGCAAGUAUACAUAAAGUCUGCGUUAAGCAAAGUUGCAGCAGGCUUGGAAGCCCCUGUGGCACAGGGGGAGCAGCCCAGGUUCGGAUGCUAACGCGGAAAAGAGGAGCGGCAGAGCUCACCUUGGCAAGGUCUUCGUCAAACCGACCUCGCUGGCUCCUUCCCCUCACAGAGUAGCAGGGGCUGGCCGAUGUGUAGACUGUGUUGGGCCCCAUCAGCCUGGGCAGCGUGUAGGUGCCAGGACCUGCAGGAGGAGCAGCAGAGAGCGUGUGCGCGAGGGGCUGGAGGAGACGGAAGCAGCAGAGAGGGGCAGCCUGCCCAGCCUGCUGGUGGGAGCCGGAGGGAGGUCUCGCCCCUCUGCCAGUUCCUCCCUCUACUCUGGCACUGGGCCAGCGCCAGCAGCUCCGAGCCUGAGCAGCCGCAGCCGCUGCGGGCCCAGAGGUGUUGGUCGUGCAAGAAAGCUUGCGGCCCCAGCGCCGCGUCCUGCCGCGCAGGCUGUGCAGUAGGCCCGCUGCUGGUGCUGAGCAGCAGCCCGUCCCUGCGGGAUGCUCAGGCUGAAGGGUCUGCCUUUGCCAGGGUCAGCGUACCUGGAGGGUGGUCUGUCCGGAGGGGCUCCCGCCGGAAGGCCAUGGACUGCACCGGUGGGCACUUGAAGACGUGCCUGUUGGCUGCCUCGGUGCGGUAGUCACCUGGGGCGGAAGAGAAGAGGAAGAAAGCCGUGAAGCGCCGGUCUUCUUCUUCUGCAACCGCACAGGCACUGUCCCGAGGAAAGGGUCUUCUCAAGAGCUGCAGAAUUGCCGCUGGGGGACACAGGCAGCACGCGGGGACGCUCUUCUGUGCCCCGCCGCUAUGCCCUGCCUUGCUGUCCCUCCCGUCAGCCCCCUGCCGCUUGUUCUUUUUGGACACGGGGUCCUUGUGCCCUCGGCCCGUGGCCCUGGGCAGCUGUCCUUCUCCGAGGGCGUUUAUCGCUGCUCAGAGCGGUUUGCGUUCUCUCAAAAAAGACCUACAGCUCCAUCAGGGCGCGAGCUGGCCCCGGGCAAACGCGCCGCCCGCUCGUCUUGUCUGGGUGAAGUGCUGCACAAGUGGUACUCACUUGGUCCGGGAGUGACGGUGGUCUUCGUCGCGGGUCGUCCCCGGAGCUGGGCGCCCGGAGCCACGUACUUCCCGUUCCUGGUGAUGGCGGGCUCCACAAAGUAGCAGGGACCUGGCCCGCAGCUCCCUGCCGCAGGCGGUUUGGUCCCUCUAAACGUGUAGGCGGGGGCACGGGCUUUGGUGGGGCUGUGGCCCACAUAACCUAGGAGGAAAAGCAGAAGAGAGCACACCCCUGUGCAGCUGCACGUCUCAAGCUCCGUUGGAACAGGCGCAGUUAGGCGCCGGGCCCUGGCCCCGACAUUCCCUUCCCGCGUGACUUCUUCCUCCAAGAGCCCUGGAGGCGAGCUGUGCCGGGCCUCGGAGCGCACAAGAGUCAGUCCCUGAGUGCAAACGGCUGCGCGAGUGCCUUGCAAAGUCACCGCAAAAAGACAGCGGAGUUUUGGCCAGCACGCUGCCUGUACCCGCACCACGCGUGCAGGCACUCCACAGCGAGAGCCCCCUAAGGGUCAAUUGUUCUGCAAGACCCCGUAACGCCUCUCUACAGCUGCAAAGCUGAGUCUGCGCUGGCCAGAAGCGGGCCCCUUUUUCCCCGGGCCACAAGGAGCAGCGCCAGCGGCACCGGCCUUCCUCGGCCAGGCCUGGCUCGCGGCUGCGCCAGGGAGCCAGGAGGCUCUGACAGAACGGGGAAAGGCUCGGGAGCUGCUCUGCCCCGCCAUGUCCCCGGUGCGCCUCACGCCCUGGGGAUGGUGGCUGUACCUGUUGUCCCCGGGAUGGAGUACUGGGGCCCGGGGCUGGGGAACUGGGCCGAGAUGAGGCCGCGUGGGCGAUGAGGUCUCCAGGUCCCCACCCAGGCUCCGUCCAUGCUGGCAGGCAUGUGCCUCCAAACCUAAAGGCAAGAACAGAGGAGUUACUGACGGGCUGCCCCAACAGAGGCCGCAGCUCCUGAGCCGGAAGGGCCGGCAGCAGUUUCUCCCGCUCACUGCCAGUCCUGCCAGUCUCGUGCUGCAUGCCCCUCGCGCACACCGGAGCUCAGCCCGCACCCUGCAGCUGGGCUCUGCAGCCUGACGUGUGCAGGAGCUCUCCCUCACCUCUCUGAGCCUUGGAGGACGAGCGCGAUGAGGCUGAGCUAGUCUGCUGCUGGGGCUGCUCUCAGGCACAGGGCACGGCGAGCGGCUGCGGGCAGCACAGCUCACAAAUGAGGCGCCUGGAGCCAGCGGCCAGCUGUCCUUGGGGAGGGCCCGGCGUCGUCAUGGCAAUGCAUUGUGACAGCACACGGGCUCCGGGUGAUGUCAUCUGUGCUGUGACAUCUCCUGGCUGGCCUGGAGCCACGCCCGCCACGCCUUUUCGGCCUCGCACCCCAACCAGUACAAAGCCGUAGCGCACGCUGCCGACACCUGCAGAUGGACUGAGCUCUCACUUCUAGCCACGUGCCGCCCGGGGCUCCUGAGGCUCGGUCAGCGUCACCUGCAAGGGAGAGAUUACGUUACUUCGAACCUACUGGAACAUUUCUGAGAAUGACACUCUGUUCUUUGGAGCUCUGUGUGUAUAUGUAUAUAUA